rnacentral:rRNA from 1 species
UACGUAGGUGGCGAGCGUUGUCCGGAUUUACUGGGCGUAAAGGGAGCGUAGGCGGACUUUUAAGUGAGAUGUGAAAUACCCGGUCUCAACUUGGGUGCUGCAUUUCAAACUGGAAGUCUAGAGUACAGGAGAGGAGAAUGGAAUUCCUAGUGUAGCGGUGAAAUGCGUAGAGAUUAGGAAGAACACCAGUGGCGAAGGCGAUUCUCUGGACUGUAACUGACGCUGAGGCUCGAAAGCGUGGGGAGCAAACAGGAUUAGAUACCCCUGUA